AACGGCAACGUCGAGAUAUCGAUACACUUGCGCCGGUACGAAUAACGACAUCGAUUGCAUUGUCACCGGCGAUGCAACAACGGAAUCCUGAAACCUGUUAACGACACGGUCUAAACAAGUGUUGCGGGUUAAAAUAAUUUUUUUUUUUUUUGUACACAGUCGCCGUUAUCGCGGUGUUUGGACGGAACGCGUUCGACGAUUACGCGACUUUUUUG